CGUGAGAAUAUGCAGCGGGGCGGGAGUCAGUGUCAUGUCGUUUGGUCAGUCGGCUGUUGGGUGGUGCUGUAUCGGUGUCGUUGUCCAAGUCCCUACUGUGUGUGUGUACCAGGUGUGGCCCGUUCGUCGCGGUCAGAGUGAGGACAAGGUGUCAGGGUUCGAGGUGGGGUAGAGAGAGGGAUAAGGUAUCUUGGGAUUCGUGGAGAUGUCCUGUGAUCUCCAGUGGGUGUGUUCCGGUCUCGGGACCGUCAGGUGCAGACGUCGGGGAGUUUCAAUCCACGGUGCCACCAGUGGCUCCCGUG